rnacentral:lncRNA from 1 species
GUUUCGACCCAUCUCAACAAUGGAGUUCAACCUUCCUGUGUCUCCUUUAGGUCAGGCAGGGUGAGACUUUCCAUCCCUGACUAGGAAGGGCCCACACCCUUGUUAGCUUGAAGCAGUUCUGGAAGAUAGAUUUUCAACCUUCAUCAACCUUGAGAAUAAGAGGUCAAAAUCAGGGCAGGAAGAAAUAAGGUGGCAUAGAAGUCAUAGGAUAGGUAAAAGAGAAACAGACAGGGAAGGAAAGAAGGACCAUCACUAUCCAUCUAAGAUCUCCAUGAAAACACUCACCUUUACCUCACCCCCACCCUAGGCCUGUUUCUCCUCCCAGGACCACCUUCUUAAAACUCAAUAAAACUUAAGGGUAUUGAAGUCCAGUUCAUUUGUGCCUAUGUACCUUGUUAGGUGACAGAAUGAAUUUUAAGACUAACAUAAAAAGCCUAGAGAGAGCAAUGGGGAAAGUCCAAGCACUGGUGUCAAUCCAAAGAUUCUGAAAGAACCAGACUCUUGGGACCCACGCAUGCUCAGCGGUCAUCAAACGAAUCAAGAUUAUGCUGACACCACCCCACCUCCGCUCAUGUCCACCCUUUACAAAGUGUCCUUUAAAGGUCUCCUGAGCCCUUUUCCUCUAGAGUUUUAAGCACAUUUUUCUCUAGAGUUCUGCAAUCCCUCUCCCUUUGAGUGCAUAUCCUGCUCUAUUGCUUGCUUUCCUGAAUAAGUCUCUUCUUGUGCAUCCUUUGUCAGGUCCUGUAAUUUCUUUCCAUGGUAAAUCAAGAAUCUGCUGGGGCUUACAUGAGCCGUAAAACCCCACAAAUCGAUAAGGAAUGAAGACAAAGAUAUUCAGAAAGGGUUUUACGGCCCAUGUCGCACACAGGCGGUGGACAUGGGGUUCCCCUCUGGUGGAAUGGGCUGGCUGAGAAAUAAAAGCAAAGAGAAAUAAAAUGGCAAAAUAAUCACAGAACACAGAAAGUAGUUUCAAAGGAGGAGCAAGACAGGGAAGCUGACCAGAUGGGUCCAGCUUCUGACACACAAAGAAGCCCACGUCUGCUUUAUUUAUAUUGGGAAAUAUCAAAGACUUUCCAUAGAAAGUUCUUCAACAAAAUAGGAUAGUGGUGGAGGUUGGUAGGCAGCUCAGUUCCUAACAGGUUACUGCCCAUCCCUGGUGCUACUGCGAGGGACCUUUCUAGCUGAUUGGAGGGGAAGAUCACGUGCACUGGGUGGUCUGUCUCUGUGGGAGAGUCAUGGGAAGUUCCCAAUGCCAGACCUAUUCCCUCCCUAGCUGCAUGCCUAGAAAAGGUUCUCAUGCAUUUCACAGAUGGCUUCCUGCAGGGUUUGGGGGAAAGUUCAGGGAUAGGUAGUUGUCUAGAGGAGGAAAUAACCUCUAAUUUAUAAAAUUCUUGAAUCACAAUGUAUUCCCUCAGCUCUCAAAAAAUGUAUUCCAUCCAUUCUUGGAAAUAUAACUUACUGGUUUCUGAUGAUACUGAAGGGAACCUGUCAGCUAGACUGGAUUUUGUUCAAGUCAUUCCUUAGCUAGUCUCUGCCCAUGAUGUAAGCAUUGUAUCAGCAGUUCAUCAGGAAGAAAUGAUCAAGACACAGACAUGAAGAAGCAUGAAAGGCAUCUUGUUUUCAUUUAAUAAUCACAGUUAUGUCUCCGACUUUCUUAGUUCACUGACCAGAGCAGAUUUUCUCCCCUCACACUUUCUCCUCAGUGUAAAGAAAACAAUAAGAGACACAGAGACAAGAUGCAGAAGCAGGAAAGAUGGCAGAAUGGCAGAAUGGCCAAGCUACCAGCUUAAUUUAUAUCAAUAGGUUAUAGUAGGUCAGUGGCAUCAGUAUUACAUUAUUGUCCAUUGUCAUUAGGUAGGUUAUAGAGUUAGCAACAUCAUGCAGCUUAUUCCUCAGUUACAUACUGUAGUUGCAAUACGCAAUGUUAGGAGCAUUGUGUAGCUCUCAAGAAAAUUCAUUGUUUAAAGUGACUAUUAUGUGGCCAGGUUCAGGUGCAGCAGAGCUUGGUGAAACAUUGUGGUUAUCUAACAAGAGAGUUUUGUUAUUUCCAGGAGCUGUGUGCUUGAGAUCAAAGUCGAGGCUGAUAAGACUCUAGUACAGAGCAUAAAGCGGGGCACUGCUAUAGCAGCCAGGCAUCCUGUAUCUUUGCAGCCAGGCAUUCUGUGUCUUUGCACAGAAACUCCCUAGCCACCUAGCAUGCCAGUCAUAAAUCUAUCAGAGACUUCUAUCCCAAACACAGAAUCCUUACACCUCAGCUGCCCUUUGCAAGCAGGAUAUUUUGAUGAUGGGAAGAUAGGAAGGAGAAGACGGAGAAGUUGGCACAUUCUAACACAGUAAGGGUGAACGUGAAGGCUGAUUUUGUUCACUGACUACAAUCAACUUUGACUUCUUUGUGGUGAAUUACUCUGCCAACUAGAAGUGUGACUUUUGAUGCAUGAUAGAGGGUUAGGUGGUAAGGACAGGAGGAUGUCUUUAGUACCAAGAUCUUAUCUGCUGUGCAUGGGGGAUUAUUAACCCAGCAGACUCAAGGUCAGUCAGAAUCUCUCCUGAGGUCUUGUGUAACUGUAGAACAUUGUGUUGAAAGUCCUGCAAAUCAGGCAAUGGACACUUUAUCUGGCUUGUUGGGCAGUGUGUGUUCUUGGAGAUACUAGUAGAGACCCGGCUGGGAAAGAUCUUGCUAGAAGUGCCCUGAGCAUAGGUCUAAGUGAAAGUGAUGGAAGCAUCAUGGGUGGUUUGCGGAGGUAAUUCUAGUGCUCCCUG